CCUACGGGGGGCAGCAGUGAGGAAUAUUGGUCAAUGGACGAGAGUCUGAACCAGCCAAGUCGCGUGAAGGAUGACUGCCCUAUGGGUUGUAAACUUCUUUUAUAUGGGAAUAAAAUGUUCCACGUGUGGGAUUUUGUAUGUACCAUAUGAAUAAGGAUCGGCUAACUCCGUGCCAGCAGCCGCGGUAAUACGGAGGAUCCGAGCGUUAUCCGGAUUUAUUGGGUUUAAAGGGAGCGUAGGUGGAUUGUUAAGUCAGUUGUGAAAGUUUGCGGCUCAACCGUAAAAUUGCAGUUGAAACUGGCAGUCUUGAGUACAGUAGAGGUGGGCGGAAUGCGUGGUGUAGCGGUGAAAUGCUUAGAUAUCACGAAGAACACCGAUUGCGAAGGCAGCUCACUGGACUGCAACUGACACUGAGGCUCGAAAGUGUGGGGAUCAAACAGGAUUAGAUACCCUAGUAGUC
rnacentral:rRNA from 1 species